GGGAUUGUGACUCAGUGGUAGAGUACUUGCCUACUAUGUAUGAGGCACUGGGUUCAAUCUCU
rnacentral:tRNA from 1 species